CCUGACCUGCAUUCGAUACGGUCGAGCUAGAGUGUGGUAGGGGAGACUGGAAUUCCUGGUGUAGCGGUGGAAUGCGCAGAUAUCAGGAGGAACACCGAUGGCGAAGGCAGGUCUCUGGGCCAUUACUGACACUGAGGAGCGAAAGCGUGGGGAGCGAACAGGAUUAGAUACCCUGGUAGUCCACGCCGUAAACGGUGGGCGCUAGUUGUGCGAACCUUCCACGGUUUGUGCGACGCAGCUAACGCAUUAAGCGCCCCGCCUGGGGAGUACGAUCGCAAGAUUAAAACUCAAAGGAAUUGACGGGGCCCCGCACAAGCAGCGGAGCAUGCGGCUUAAUUCGACGCAACGCGAAGAACCUUACCAAGGCUUGACAUAUACAGGAAUACGGCAGAGAUGUCGUAGCCGCAAGGCCUGUAUACAGGUGGUGCAUGGUUGUCGUCAGCUCGUGUCGUGAGAUGUUGUGUUAAGUCCCGCAACGAGCGCAACCCUCGUUCUGUGUUGCCAGCAUUUAGUUGGGGACUCACAGGAGACUGCCGGGGUUAACUCGGAGGAAGGUGGGGAUGACGUCAAAUCAUCAUGCCCCUUAUGUCUUGGGCUGCACGCAUGCUACAAUGGCUGGUACAAACGGCUGCAAUACCGCAAGGUGGAGCGAAUCCGAGAAAGCCAGUCUCAGUUCGGAUUGGGGUCUGCAACUCGACCCCAUGAAGUCGGAGUUGCUAGUAAUCGUAGAUCAGCAACGCUACGGUGAAUACGUUCCCGGGGCUUGUACACACCGCCCGUCACGUCACGAAAGUCGGUAACACCCAAAGUCAGUGGCCCAACCGUAAGG
rnacentral:rRNA from 1 species